rnacentral:misc_RNA from 1 species
GAUGAAGAACGCAGCGAAAUGCGAUAAGUAAUGUGAAUUGCAGAAUUCAGUGAAUCAUCGAAUCUUUGAACGCACAUUGCGCCCGCUAGUAUUCUGGCGGGCAUGCCUGUCCGAGCGUCAUUUCAACCCUCAAGCCCCCGGGCUUGGUGUUGGGGAUCGGCGAGCCUCCGCGCCCGCCGUCCCCUAAAUCUAGUGGCGGUCUCGCUGUAGCUUCCUCUGCGUAGUAGCACACCUCGCACUGGGAAACAGCGCGGCCACGCCGUUAAACCCCCAACUUCUGAACGUUUGACCUCGGAUCAGGUAGGAAUACCCGCUGAACUUAAGCAUAUCAAUAACGGAGGA